AUGCCUAGAUGGCUUUUUUGCAAAUUUUAUCCACUGGGUUAAGUUUAAUGUGUUUUUAAAUAUUGCCUAGCCUGAAAAGAAUCUUAAGCAAGUUGAUUGUUUUCAUCUGGCAAAAAUAAAUAAAUAAAAUCUUUAAAAAAUGCAAAAGAAGUGUGAGCUGUAUGUCUAUAUUAGUAGAGAUCAUUUGAGCAUAUGCAAGAGGAGAAAGGUUGAAAUAAAAUUUCAAUUAUAAUCCCACUCUAAAUGCUUUACAAUUUUGUUUGUAGCUUGAAUCAUGUAUUUUCAGUAACACCAGUUAUAGUCAGUCUCACUUAUACUGCUUUUUUUAACUAGUACACACUCACACCUACAAAUAGAUGUUAGAUACCCCCCUCCUUCCCCUCACCCAACAUUCUGGAAGAGACUCAUUGUCUCUCCACAACUAAUAGGCUCUCUGCAGAUCCUGUCUCUUCCGCUGGCUCUCUAACCAACUCACUUUACACAAUCACAUUUUAACUUCUGAGCCUCCUGUCUGGAGCAUGCUUAGUCAUUCUUCCUGGCCUUGUAGUCACCAUCCCUACCAUAUGGAUAGACUAACCUACAGACUUCACUUCUGCUUGUGUAUGUGGAAUAUACUCAGUUGUAAAGCAGAGCCAUGUUUGACCUCUUUCCAGUUGUCCACCUGUUAGUUAUCCUGAAAAGAAGAUGGAAAUAUCUGGGACAUGUGUUAAGAAGAAAGGCAGAGCACCUGUUACAGCAGGUGUCCCAUUGAGCAGCUGGAAAAACAUGUAAAUGGGGCCAACCGAAAGAAUCCCUCUGACAAACAGUACUUCAGGAGGGCAGAACUAUUUUUAAAUGAACACGAGCCAGAAGAGGCUGCCAUAACCACUCACUGCCAUCCAGUGAUGGAUCCUGUCCUUCCCUGAUGUAAAAACAACAGUGAUGUGUGCACUAUUUCUUCUGUGUUUACAUUUUCUGAGACAGGCUAUUUGGAAUAAAGAAUUAGCAGAAAUUAUUUAUUUUCAGUGUGUGAAGUGUCAAGGUCAAAGCCUAAUCAACCCUUCACUAGCAUCCCACUAAUUAAAAUGAAAAUCAUUGCUUCUUUUCUCAUCAAUAACUAUUGAUUUCUAAGAGUACAGAAUUUUACAUGAGUCCGUGCACUGGUGUUCAUAAUGAGCACUACACCAAGCUAGCCAUGUCACAAGCCUGAGUGUUACUUGAAAACUGACCUUUAAUGAUUAAACAAUAAAUUAAAAUACACUGAAAAAAAUUCUCACUUACGCAUUUUGAAAACUACAUCAACCAAUCUCCAUUUUGGUGGGAAAAGAGAGGGCAUCAGCGGAUAUGGGGAUCACUAUGAUAGGUUUGGGACGAUAAGAGGACCAAAUUUCUGCCUUGAAAAUUUUCAGUAUGAACAUCUUUUAUAUAUAAGGACAAAAUGUGGCCUAUAGUUAAUAAAACUCAUAGCUUCAGGAGCACCAGAUAUGCUAAUAUAAGUUGGACAUUAGUUGAUUUAAUUCUUUAACCAAUUUUCAGCCUCAUUGCUCUACCUUUUACUUAGUAAUUACCUAAUGCCUGAGCAUUUACUAAUGACUAAUUUAAAAUUUGUCUGUGGGCUAAAUAUAUUGUAACAAAUCUAUGACCACCUAGGGUUUCACAUUUGUCACUAGACUGCACACCAUUGGCAUUUAGAUUUUCAAGUCGAAAAACCAAAUCCUCCUAUUCCUAAAAUAGGCCCCCAGAAUUAAUGAGGAAUCACUGUCUGCAGAAUAGCACUUAUGACAUACAUUCUAGAAGUUCAGAUUCAAUCCUGUGAAGGGCAUACACACUAGUCAAUUAAUUAUAAUGCUUUUUUAUAGAAAAAGCUUACUAAAUCUUUCAGUAUAUAGACUUUCCCUUCAGUCUUUAAAAUCCUCUAAAAUUAAUGGGCAACAUUGUUGCCCCACUGAAGUCAAUGGCAAACAAACAACAGUCAGGGUAGCUAAACACUGGAAUAAUUUACUUAGGGUUCUGGUGAAUUCUCCAUCACUUUGUCUUCAAAUCAUUAUUGGAUAUCUUUCUAUAUGCUAUAGCUCCAACAGAAGUUAUGGGAUUGACAUAGAAAUUACUGGGUGGGGCUUUUUGAUCUGUGUUAUUAGAGCUGAUCGGAAUAUUUUUAUUAAAAUGGGUUUUUGUUGGAAAAAGCUGUUUUGAUUAAACCAUUUUUGGACAAAUUUUGACAAAGUUUCUCAUGAAAGAAAAACAUUUAGAAACUCCCCCCCCCAAAAAUGACCUAGUUUGGUUUCAAUUUUUUUUUUUAUCAUGUACAUUUGAUUUUUAUUACUUUUGCAUUGUUUCAUGACACGUCAACAUGAUUAGUCUGGGCAUACCACAAUUGACAUAAUAGUUGAAAUAAUACAAGUGUCAAACUAUUUCAUUACAACACAAACAGGAGACACUUUGAUCUAGAAAAGAAGAUGUUUCAAUGAGUACAAAGUAGCAGCUGCCUUUAAUGAUUUUAAAAACAAAAUAAAUUAAAAAUACAGUGUUUCAACUACCACAUCAUGAGAUGACAUCAGUAGUAGUGCACAUAUAUUAUGCAGGUCAACUAUUAACAUGUCAUGAAAUAAUGUAAAGAUAAUAAAACUGAGAUGAAAAACCCAUAAAAUGAAAAAUUUGACCAGAAAUUUUCCCCAAAUGAAACUUCUAAAUUUCAACCAGCUCUACAUGUUAGGCAAGAACUCAGACUAGGUAAUCAAAAUGGUCCUUUCUGGCCUUAAAAGCUAUGCAUCUAUGACUUCAGUGGGAGCAGUAUUUCACCCAAUAAAUCUAUCAAUUAUGAGAAAUCAGAUAUUAGCCUUUUCUCUUACUGCCCCAUAGCAUUGAUUAUACUCUCAGGGAAAUUCUCAGCCAAUCAAACCAUAGAGCUGUAUCACUGCAUUACAACUCCAGAACAUAACUGCUUGAAUGACAUCUUAUUCCCUCCUUGUUCAGUAUAUCCCACUCCUCUCCUACCCCAGAUCCUUGAUUCCCCUAUUUUAAAACUGAAUUAGAGGAAUGUGGAAUAGACUAAGUCUAACCUUCUCUUGUGUAUCUUACUCUGUUUGUGGCCCUAACCAACAUUUCCAGGUCAGCAUCACUUAAAGUAGGAGGUUUACUGAAUCGCAAGGUGCUGACAACUAAACUCAGCACUAGGGAGUGGCAAGCACAAGGACUGAACAAGAACACAUGGGGUUCAUUCUAGUUUAUAGUAUAUUUUUAAUUGGGUUAGCGUAUGUAAUGGUGCUGUAUAAUGGAGAACGAUUGGAGAAAAUACCCUGAUCUUCUUGGUAAUAAGCAAGAUCUCUCAUGAGGAUAAAUUAUUUGGCCUUCUAGUUUAUCCAUUUGGAAACCAUAUUACUGCCUCAGAAAAAGAGCUACCUGUCCUAUUAUCCCUUAACUAACAAGAACUGCAAAAUCCUUUUCAAACUACUAGCCAUCCAGCUUGAUAAAAUACCCCUUCAUCCAACCAGAUCAAGCUGGAUGUAUGAGUAUUUACAUGCCCUCAAGUAAUCUUUCAAGACCAUAUUGUUCAUUGUUCUCUGUAAUAUAAGAAAAACAUUCUUCAUUUCUUUGGCCAAAAAGGCAUUCAAGGGGAUACAAUGGCCCUUCAUGUUCAGAGGCUUGUAUUAGUUUAGUUGCUUUAUUGAAGAGACAACCCUGUGACUGUGAGGGUAUAUCUGAUUUUGGCUGAUGUAAAUACUGACUGUUGAUUAUGUGUAUGUCACCUUACUUACAUAAAUUGUAUAAUCAAUCAAUCCAAAAAGCUAUGUUACUGCCAACUAUAAUUCAGAAUUUAAAGUAACAAAAAUCAGGACAUUCAAAAUCACAGUGUACUUCCAAAAGCCACAGCAGCAUGGGCCCUUGUGCUUACAUAGUGUUUAAUAUUACUGAAUACACUGCUAGGUUUAUACCCUACAUGACAGAGCUUCUUCUCGGAAUUGGUGGGUCCCGCGCUUCUGUUUAGCAGUGGGCUAGGGUAUUUCUCUCUCUGUCAGAAUUUUCCCCACACCCCUGGGCUUGUUGUCACACCCCUGCCGGAGCAGGGUUCCUCCCAGCUACCCUGACAGGGAGAGGGAAGGGGAGCCUCUCAGUCUCUGGUAACCCCUCCAGGCAUGGUGGUAAUAGACCCAAUAGUCACUUCAGUCUCUCCCCUCUGGCAGGGUCUCUUCCCUCAGCUCUUUGGGGCCCAGAAGGGACAUCGGCCACAUUGAGCAGGGAUUGUCCUGCUCUUUGCCUCUGUACCUGUGUGGUUUCUCUCCUGGUGCUUGUCAGCAUCUGCACUGCCCAACUCUCCAGUAGCUUACCUUCCUCCCUCAGCUGGUAUCACAUGCCCCUAUCUGGCUGGAGGGGAGGCUUUUAACAGGUUCUGGCAGGCCCUUGAUUGGCCUCAGGUGUCCUAAUUAACCUAGAGUAACCUCUGUUCAGUUACCAAGGGAAAAGGGACUUGCUUAUCCUGGGGCUACUAUACCUGCCUUCCGCCACUCUCAUGUUGCCAUCUGGCCUGUCCCCGUCACACCUAAUAAAAACCAGUGCUAGAAAUCAUAGUGAUGGGUAUAAUAUAAAUGUCUAGGUAGAUGGAACAUUUAUGAAAUAUGUAGAGUUAUGUUAUCCCAUUUGUUCAAUUUGUCCACCCUCUCCAGGAUGAUGAUAAUCUGGAGAGUAUGUACAAAUUGAAUAAAUGGGAUAACACAACCUUCAGAACUGAAGAUCAUACUAUAUGAUGGUUUUGCAAGUUAAUGGGAGUUUUGUCUGAGACUGGAUGGCAGUUUCAGCCCCAACUUAUGUACAUUAUAAAUGCCUCUUAGUUCACACACUGGCUUUAAAAAAAAAAAGCGAGCGCAAAAGGCAGUGUUUACAACUGUGUGAUGUAUUACUGUAUAGAGCUAACUGGGAAUUUUUCACUGAAAUGUUUGUCUGUUGGAAAAGGCCGAUUCAUCAAACCAAAACUUUUUGUGGAAGCAUACUGCUUUUGACAGGACGAUUUCUCAAGUCCAGGAUGAAAUCUCUGUCAAAACCAGCAAAGGGAGAGGGGGACCACAGAAUAACCAAUAACACAGUGAUUGGGGAACUUACCUGGGUUCUGGGAGAUCUAGGUUCAACUCCCUUCUCUGCCUAAUUCAGUGCUCUAACCACAAGGCUACAGUCUGAGCCCCGCUCUCUGGCCCAGUGAAUAUUUAAUAAUUUGCACAGAGUGGCUGAGACAGACAGAGAGAGAGAGAGAGUCAGUGUAGGGACUUGAAAUUGUGUUUUCUACAUCCCAGGGGAGUGCCCUAACCAGUGGGCUACUGGCCACCCCAGGGUCCCUCGUUUUUUCAUGAAAAGUUCUCAGGGUCUCAGUUUUGUCCCAGUGCAGAACAAAACCAAAUGCCAAAACCUCAGAAGUUUUCAGGAAACUGAAUUCUUGUUUUCCAGCCAGCACAACUUCUGAAAUCUACAGCUGAGAUGGGAGGGGAGCAAAGGUG